UACAGAGGUCCCAAGCGUUGUUCGGAUUCACUGGGCGUAAAGGGUGCGUAGGCGGUCGGGUAAGUCUGAUGUGAAAUCUCCAAGCCUAACUUGGAAACUGCAUUGGAUACUAUCCGGCUAGAGGAAUGGAGGGGAGACUGGAAUACUUGGUGUAGCAGUGAAAUGCGUAGAUAUCAAGUGGAACACCAGUGGCGAAGGCGAGUCUCUGGACAUUUCCUGACGCUGAGGCACGAAAGCCAGGGAGCAAACGGG
rnacentral:rRNA from 1 species